rnacentral:rRNA from 1 species
GACGAACGCUGGCGGCGUGCUUAACACAUGCAAGUCGAACGGUGAAGCGCCUUCCUUUUUGGUGGGUGUGGAUGAGUGGCGAACGGGUGGGUAACACGUGAGUAACCUGCCCCCUUCUUCUGGAUAACCGCAUGAAAGUGUGGCUAAUACGGGAUAUUCUGGGUCUGUCGCAUGAUGGGUCUGGGAAAGAUAUUGUUUCGGUGGGGGAUGGGCUCGCGGCCUAUCAGCUUGUUGGUGGGGUGAUGGCCUACCAAGGCGGUGACGGGUAGCCGGCCUGAGAGGGUGGACGGUCACACGGGGACUGAGACACGGCCCAGACUCCUACGGGAGGCAGCAGUGGGGAAUAUUGCACAAUGGGCGCAAGCCUGAUGCAGCGACGCCGCGUGAGGGAUGGAGGCCUUCGGGUUGUGAACCUCUUUCGCCAGUGAAGCAGGCCUGCCUCGUUUGUGGGUGGGUUGACGGUAGCUGGAUAAGAAGCGCCGGCUAACUACGUG